rnacentral:rRNA from 1 species
GGGGGGGGGGGGGGGGGGGGGGGGGGGGGGGGGGGGGGGGGGGGGGAGGGGGGGGUGGGUCCUCGGGCGGUAGGGGGGGGCGGGUGAGUAGGACGUGGAUACCCGACCUAUGCGACUGGGAUAACUGCGGGAGACCGGAGCUAAUACGGGAGAAUCUAUGGACCCGCAUGGUUCAAUAGUGCAAGACGGGUUUGCUCGCCCUUCUGAGUGGACCCGCUCCGCAUUAGCUAUUUCGUAAGGUAACGGCUUACCAAGGCAACGAUGCGUAGCCGACCUGAGAGGGUGAUCGGCCACACGGGAACUGAGACACGGUCCAGACUCCUACGGGAGGCAGCAGUAGGGAAUCUUCCGCAAUGGGCGAAAGCCUGACGGAGCAACGCCGCGUGAGUGAUGAAGGUCUUCGGAUCGUAAAACUCUGUUAUUAGGGAAGAACAAAUGUGUAAGUAACUAUGCACGUCUUGACGGUACCUAAUCAGAAAGCCACGGCUAACUACGUG